rnacentral:rRNA from 1 species
UGCCAGCCGCCGCGGUAAUACGAAGGGGGCGAGCGUUGUUCGGAAUUACUGGGCUUAAAGAGUUCGUAGGUGGUUGAAAAAGUUAGUGGUGAAAUCCCAGAGCUUAACUCUGGAACUGCCAUUAAAACUUUUCAGCUAGAGUAUGAUAGAGGAAAGCAGAAUUUCUAGUGUAGAGGUGAAAUUCGUAGAUAUUAGAAAGAAUACCAAUUGCGAAGGCAGUUCACUGGACCGUGAUCGACGCUGAGGAGCGAAAGCUAGGGGAGCAAACAGGAUUAGAUA